CAGGAAAGUCCGGAGAUUUAAGCAUAACUUUUAUACAGUGAGGUACAAGCCCAGGCAAUACACAGAAAAUAAAAAAAAAAAUAAAAACUUAGCGUAUUUUAUUUUAUUUAAAAAGAGAACCUGAAUAAAUCUUUUUUUUAGUUAAAUCUUACAAGACAAGACUCGGCUUAU
rnacentral:RNase_P_RNA from 1 species